CAAAAAUUGAGCGUUGGGGGAGAAGAUGUGUAAUAAUUGUCUUCAGAUAUUUGACCUGCCACCCUGUUGAUGUAGGAUUAAACUUCUAUAGGAAUAUAGAGCUAUUGGAGCAGUGAUUCUGGAAGAGGGGCAUGUGGAGCAUUAGGAUGGAAAAAUUCAGAGAACCAGAGAAAUGGACUAUAAAUUCCACAAGAUCAGAGCUCUACAUGAAUGCUGGUACAUAUCAGCACAAAGAUGCCUUCAGCCUGCAGACAGCAAAACCUUUUAACCUCACCUCUUUGCCAUAGUAAUUUGGAAACCAAAUUUUGAAAUAAGCUUGAUAGUGGCGCACAAGAAAAGUCCAACAUUUUCUUGAAACAUUGGAAGUCUUUUGAGGUUUUGCCCUCUUCCUCCUCCUUUUUCUUGCUCCUGUGUAAUUCUGAACGAUAUUCAUCAUCCAAGGGAAUGGGGUACGGUGAUAAUCAUUUUUUGAUAUCAAUGUGUUGCACAGUCAUUUACACUGAACAUCUGUGGCCUAUUAUAAGGAAGUCAUAAAGUGGGAAGCCUCAGUGCCCACACAGGGCAAGACCAUCAGUGUUGAUGUGAAGAUAUUUUGGUCAAGAGCGCCACCUCUCAGCAGUGAAUCAAACUGGCCCCCUGUGGGCCAAAAUCCGAGGAACCAUUGGCCAGUGGAAGAGUGAAUCGUCUAGUCACUAGUAUUUUCUCAUUGCUCUUCACCCAAUUACUUUUGUAUUAAACAGUGAGAAAGUGCCUGAGACUGUGCAUUGUGUCUGUUUUAAUGGAAGCACACAGGAGGUGGAUAAACCUGCGCUCUGAAAAAUAGCCCUGAGUUUUCCGUGUCAAUAGUUUUGCACCAUGAAUUCACUACUAAAAGAGGGUAAUAAAAAAUUCUUAGCUACUUAUUUAAAAAUGUAGAUCCUUACAGAGUAAAACAAGUCUUCAAACUUUAUCAAGGUUAAGAAUUAUGCCUUAGCAUUUUAGAGA